CCAGUUUUCUAGUUCAAAUAUAAAGACCCGUUCCAAUUCUAUUUUUACAUUAUUUUUUACUUUAUAUUUAAGCCAUUAGAUCUAAUUAUAUCUAAGGUUUCAAAUUAAAUUAGGUGAACAAAUAGAAAAGAAAAAAAAAAUCCCAAAUCGUGACUUUUCUUCCUCUUCCCUUUAUGCGUCAAACUCCAUAGUCGUGGAACUUCCGUCUCUGUUGCUGCCGUGGAAAUCUCGUUGCUUCUGCUGUCAUCGAACUCUCAUUGCUUCUGCUGUCAUCGAACUCCCAUCGCUACUGCCAACGUCUCUGUCAACACUCCUAGUGGUCGCCUAUUUUACCCAACCUUUCUUCAGUAUCCUGUAUCAAAAUGAAUCCUAUGUUAUCACUGUUGACUGAAAACAAGCUGAAUAGAUUUAACUUUAAUAAGUGGAAUGUGAACAUUAAUAUUGCUCUCAUAGGAGAAAGUGCCUUGUUUGUUUUAACUGAGCCGUCACCUGAAGUGCCUGGAGACAAUGCUUCCAAAGCUGUGAAAGAAAAGUAUGAGCGUUGGCAGAAAGCAAAUGACAAAGCUCUAUACUUUAUGCUUUCUAGCAUGGUUGACACCCUCAAAACUCGGUUUUCUAAAACCGAGAAGACUGCUGAAGUUAUGACGAAGUUUAAUGAGCUAUUCGGUAAGGCAUCACUUCAGUCACGCUUUGACGCGACUAAGAAGUACAUUAAUGCACGGAUGGAACCUCAUCAAAACGUGCGUGACCAUGUUCUCCUUAUGUCAAGUUAUUUCCAAGAAGCCCAGGAUCAUGGUGCUGAAAUGGACAGUGCUACUCAAGUAAGCCUUAUCUUGAAUAGCCUGACUUCAGCAUUUCUACCAUACACUUCAAAUUAUGUCAUGAAUAAGAAGGAAAUUGACUUUCAUGAGUUAGUCAAUGACCUCCAAACUUAUGAAAAUUUCAUUGGAGGACCCAAGAAGAAACCUCACAAUCCUGGAAAUGGUAAUGGGACGAUGAAACCUGAAGCUAAUGGUUCCUCUGCUUCGAAACCCAAAUCGAAGAAGAAGUGGAAGAACACCAAGAAGCGAACAUAAGCCAUGAAAAAUAAAAAGGCUGCUCCUUCUGGUGAUGCUACACUUAAAGGAAAGUGUUUCUACUGCAAUGAAAAAGGUCAUUGGAAACCCCAGUGUCCUAAACUUCUUGCAAAGAAACAAGGCCAAGCUACUUGAACUCAGAUGAGUUGGAUCAGAAAGCUGGACCAAAGGGUGAAAUCGUCCAGAUGAAGAUGAAGCUCUUCAAUUUAUUUUUGAAUUAAUUGUUUUAGUUUAAAGACAAUUUGGAUUUCAAAUUUUAGUUAGGGAUAUUUAUCCCUGUUUUUCUCAUAU